GAUGAACGCUGGCGGCGUGCCUAAUACAUGCCAGUCGAGCGAACAGACGAGGAGCUUGCUCCUCUGACGUUAGCGGCGGACGGGUGAGUAACACGUGGAUAACCUACCUAUAAGACUGGGAUAACUUCGGGAAACCGGAGCUAAUACCGGAUAAUAUAUUCAACCGCAUGGUUCAAUAGUGAAAGACGGUUUUGCUGUCACUUAUAGAUGGAUCCGCGCCGCAUUAGCUAGUUGGUAAGGUAACGGCUUACCAAGGCAACGAUGCGUAGCCGACCUGAGAGGGUGAUCGGCCACACUGGAACUGAGACACGGUCCAGACUCCUACGGGAGGCAGCAGUAGGGAAUCUUCCGCAAUGGGCGAAAGCCUGACGGAGCAACGCCGCGUGAGUGAUGAAGGUCUUCGGAUCGUAAAACUCUGUUAUUAGGGAAGAACAAAUGUGUAAGUAACUAUGCACGUCUUGACGGUACCUAAUCAGAAAGCCACGGCUAACUACGUG
rnacentral:rRNA from 1 species